GUUCUCCAGGGAUCCCCCGCAUUUCCCCGUCUGUCUCUGCCUCUGCUUCCUGGUUCCUCCCUCCCUGCCCCGAGCCCUCCAAGACACGUCCCCAUCCCUAGUGCUCCCAGGCUCCGGAGAGAGCGUCCUGCUCCCCACCUGUGGACCUUCUGGCUCUCCUCCCAAACCAUGGCUCCCGGACAGCGCUGGACACCUGCUUCACUGCUGAACACGGGCCCCGCACGCACCAGGCCCUCUGCCAAGGUUUUUCAGCGGAAGCCCUGAAGAGAGCGUAGAAAGGGCCAUUUGGAAAGCCUGUGCCUCUGAAGCACAUGACUGUCUUCCUCCAGGGCAGAGUGGUCAAGCAGCAUCCUAGGAAGACUGUCAAGACCCUGCCACCUCGAAGCUCGCAUGUCUGCAGGGUAGACCGACAUUCCGUGAACAGGUUAAUCCCCGAGAACAGCAAGUACACCGAUAUCCUUAGAAAUCUGUGCGUGAGUCCCUGUCCAGGUGCCUGCUCUGUCUCUACAUAGAAACUCAUCAAGCCUCACAACCACCCACAAGGCAACGUCUGACAGGACCGUCAUGGCCAUUUCACAGAUGAGGACCCAGAGGCACAGGUACUCCAGGUAACUCGCCCAAAGUCACACAGCAUCUUGGUGGUGAAGUACAUUUUGAACUCACAAAACUGAGCCCCCAAACGAGUUUGCGACUCCCUCUCAUAGGUGCUUGAGGAAAAUAAAAUGGGUUCUCAGGAGAGUGAGUGUCUGAAAACUAGGUCUGCUUGCUUUCUUUUUCGUUGUUUUUUAAGGAAAACUUGGAUCGAGGUAGAACUCACAUUUGGAAGAGUCCAGAAACUGGAAGCAAGCGUUCGGCUCCGGGUUUUCACAAAGUGACCACACCGUGCGAUCGCCCUCCACAUGAAGACCAGUUCCAGCCCAAGAAGACCCCCACCCCAUCCCGGGCUCCCUCCGACUUCUCUCCUCACGGAUGCUUCUUGUCUCUUCUUGAACAGAAAGUAGAGGGAGUCAUACUAUAGGGCACUCGGCUUUCUGUUCUUUCACACAAAUCCCAGUGGACGGGCUUCCUCCGUGUCACUGAGCCCCAUCCCGCUGUAUGAAGGACACCACGAUGCCCCCUUUUUACGGGGCGCACAUCACGCUGUUUCCAGCGUGGGGCUGUUGAGUGGCGCCCCAACAAAGUUCUUGUGUGUGGCUUUGUGCACAUAUGGACAUCUAUCCGCUUGCUGGGUCUCCACCAGGGCUGGAACGGACGGACCCUAAGGUGUAAAUACGUUCAUCUUACUAGAUACGUUUGUCAAAGUCAAAGUCAAAGUCAGUUUAUACUCACACAGGCAAGCAGUUACUCCACGCUGUAGCCCACAUCUGGUGUUGUCUGAGUUUCAAAUUUUAGUCAUUCUGGUGGGUGUGUGUAGUAUGUUAUUCUGCCCUUUACCCUAAUGAGCAAUGGGGUGAAGCCCCCUGAUGUGUUCACUGGCAGCUGGAGUGCUCCCCUUUUGUGGCGUAUCCUUUCUUGUGGGUCAUCUGCUUACUGGUUCCCAGUUCUUUUUAUAUUCCGAACAUCCCAGUCCUUUGUCGAAUGAUUAUCUGUGUUGUGAGUAUUCUGUCCUGCCCUGUGACCUGCUGGUUACUCUCUUAUUAGUUUCUCUUAUUGGAUAGUUGUUAUUAAUUUUAAUUUUAUUUCAAGUAGUUUAGCGAUCUUCCUUCUUUGGCCAAUGCUCUGUGUGUCUUGCUUGAGAAUUCUUUGCCUACCCCAAGGCAUAAAGACCACUUCCUGCUUCCGUCUCGAAGCCUCACACUUUUGAUUGUCCGUUUUGACUUACAAACCCUCUUAAAUUGCUUUUUUGCAUAUGAUGUGAGGGAGGGGUCCGAGAAGGUCUCUCUGAGUCGAAGCAGCCAGAGCCCCCUCUGGGACUGGGGCAGAUCAGCGUGGAUAGCAAAGGCCGCAGAGAGGAGGCAGUCUCUCUGGGGAGCAUUGGAAGCCUUUGCAGGGUUUGAAGCAGAGCGGGCAAGACCAGAUGGCCUGAGUCACUGGAUGGACAGCGGCGUAUAAGACCUAAGGGUCUGGAACAUUCCAGCCAGCGGGUCAGCCCUCUGGCACCUCCCAGCACAUCAAGCCCUUCUGUCCUGACUGACCCACCGGACACCCACCAUCCCCUGACUGUGCUUCUCUCCUAUCCUUCUCCACCCCAGGAGGGCUCAGCCUGGUCCCUUCUGGGGACCCAAGCACACACUCUCCCACCUCUGCCCCCUCCUGAAAAGCCGAUUGGUCUCUCCCCCCAGGGUUUUAGUGCUCACCCAAACCCUCUUCCUCAGUCUCUCGCCUCCUCUCUAAACUCCCUCUCCCACUCUUGACUAUUUUCAUGGACCCGGCAGCUGAUGGCUCUCCCCUGAAGGGAAUAGCCCUUCUGCCAUGAAGGAAUUGGAGUGCGGCCUCCUCCUCCAGGUGGUGUCUGACCAACGUCCAGUGUGUUCCAGCACCCAUCCA
ensembl:lincRNA